AUUGAACGCUGGCGGCAGGCCUAGCACAUGCAAGUCGAACGGUAACAGGAAGAAGCUUGCUUCUUUGCUGACGAGUGGCGGACGGGUGAGUAAUGUCUGGGAAACUGCCUGAUGGAGGGGGAUAACUACUGGAAACGGUAGCUAAUACCGCAUAACGUCGCAAGACCAAAGAGGGGGACCUUCGGGCCUCUUGCCAUCGGAUGUGCCCAGAUGGGAUUAGCUAGUAGGUGGGGUAACGGCUCACCUAGGCGACGAUCCCUAGCUGGUCUGAGAGGAUGACCAGCCACACUGGAACUGAGACACGGUCCAGACUCCUACGGGAGGCAGCAGUGGGGAAUAUUGCACAAUGGGCGCAAGCCUGAUGCAGCCAUGCCGUGUGUAUGAAGAAGGCCUUCGGGUUGUAAAGUACUUUCAGCGGGGAGGAAGGGAGUAAAGUUAAUACCUUUGCUCAUUGACGUUACCCGCAGAAGAAGCACCGGCUAACUCCGUG
rnacentral:rRNA from 1 species